CCCUGCAAACCACAGAGCAGGUGCCACUGACCUCGAGAUCUCAAGGAGAUCUUCAACACAGUCAACAUGAGUUUAAACUUAAAAUAUUUGUAGUAAUAACUGAAGGCAAGAGAUUAAUUACAGAACAGAAAUCCAUCGCAUACUUAAAAGUAGUGUGGAUGUAAAAUUGCCGAGAUGUGGUGGUACAUGUCUAUAAUCCCAGCACUUAGAAAGUAGGUUCAGAAGGAUCAAGAAUUGACACCAGGUUGAGCUACCAAGAGUGAAUUCAAGGCUAGCCCGGUAUACACAGGAAUCCAAAGAGGGAAGAGGAUGUGAAUCUUCUGCUAUCAUUGGAUAAGUGUCUCCUAAGAUCCACGUAUUAGAAGCUACCAAGAGCUUCCCAUCCUUCAAGAUUUUGUGAUCCUGUCAUGAUACACUACCUACCUAACUUACAGGUCCAAAAGCAACUGAACCAACCAACCACGUACUGAAACCUCUCAAAUAUAACCAAAAUAAACCCUGUUCUUCACCUUGGGUGUUCAUUAUGUCAACAGAAAGUUAAUGCAUUUCCUAUAAUAAAUAAUACA